CCUCUAAUCUGUCAGCAGUAAGCUCACUUUCCAAGUUACAAGGCCAUUCUCAACACACACUGACACCAUGCUGGGGACCCUCUGCACUCUCAUCACUGCUCUAACAUGUGUGAGUGGUGUGACGGUGGUGACACAGAAGCCUCCUGUUGUGACGCUGAGGAAGGGAGAGACAGCCACCAUGGACUGUGAUGCUUUAGCUGGACCUCGCUGGUAUAAACAGAUUCCAGGAGGAGUUCCUCAGUUUGUAAUGAAUUAUUAUCACAGCUGGAGCUCUGCAAAAUAUGGCUCUGGUUUUUCUUCUCCCAAAUUCACACCGACUCAUCAGUCAAACACAGAUUAUCGUCUGACCAUCGCCAAUGUGGAGGAGGGAGACUCAGCAGUCUAUUACUGUGCUACAUGGGAUGACAAUGUUAAAGAGUGGGUCUCACAGUGUGAGUGGUGUGACGGUGGUGACACAGAAGCCUCCUGUUGUGACGCUGAGGAAAGGAGAGACAGCCACCAUGGACUGUAA